AAGUCGUAACAAGGUCUCCGUUGGUGAACCAGCGGAGGGAUCAUUGCUGGAACGCGCUUCGGCGCACCCAGAAACCCUUUGUGAACUUAUACCUGCUGUUGCCUCGGCGCAGGCCGGCCUUUUGUGACAAAGGCCCCCUGGAGACAGGGAGCAGCCCGCCGGCGGCCAACCAAACUCUUGUUUCUACAGUGAAUCUCUGAGUACAAAACAUAAAUGAAUCAAAACUUUCAACAACGGAUCUCUUGGUUCUG
rnacentral:misc_RNA from 1 species